UACGUAGGGUGCAAGCGUUAAUCGGAAUUACUGGGCGUAAAGCGUGCGCAGGCGGUUUUGUAAGUCUGUCGUGAAAGCCCCGGGCUCAACCUGGGAAUUGCGAUGGAGACUGCAAGGCUUGAAUCUGGCAGAGGGGGGGUAGAAUUCCACGUGUAGCAGUGAAAUGCGUAGAGAUGUGGAGGAAUACCGAUGGCGAAGGCAGCCCCCCUGGGAUAACACUGACGCUCAUGCACGAAAGCGUGGGGAGCAAACAGG
rnacentral:rRNA from 1 species